AAUUACUAAUUGUGUUUUGAAAACACAGAAUAGACCUAAGUCUAGUAGUUU
rnacentral:tRNA from 1 species